rnacentral:rRNA from 1 species
CCCGCUGAACUUAAGCAUAUCAGUAAGCAGAGGAAAAGAAAUUAACUAAGAUUACCUCAGUAGCGGCGAGCGAAGUGGUAAUAGCUCAAACUUUAAAUCUAAGGUCAUUUAGAUCUUCGAAUUGUAAUCUAAAGGAUGUGACAAAAACUUGAAUAAAAGAAUAAGUUCCUUGGAACAGGACACCAAAGAGGGUGACAGUCCCGUAUUUGUCUUUUUGAAAAGUGAAUGUCUAGUCUCAUAGAGUCGGGUUGUUUGGGAUUGCAGCCCUAAAUGGGAGAUAAACUUCUUCUAAGGCUAAAUAUUUAUGAGAAACCGAUAGUGAACAAGUACUGUGAAGGAAAGAUGAAAAGAACUUUGAAAAGAGGGUUAAAAGACUUGAAAUCGUUGAGAAGGAAGCGGUAAAAACGAAUUAAUUACUUGUGGCGGUUCAACUUGGUGAAUUUAGGCUCUUUGGGUAUGCACUUCAUAGGCUAACUGGAAGAGUCACGAAAUUCUCAGGGGUCUUCUCAAGUAAAAGACAAAAUGAGAUACUACUUAUAGUAAUCAGUUUAAUAAAAGCUGUGCUUCUGUACAAUUUAUUAUUCAAAACUAUCUGAGUAUCUGAGGGAAAGAGAUUUCUGAUUUUGUCAAAAUGGUUUUUACUGACCCGUCUUGAAACACGG